AAGGUUAGAAAUUAAUGGUGAUACGUGACUUGUUCAUGAGCAUCUUUUCACGUUCGUGUGGUGCGUUUCUUCGUCGAGUGGGCAAUCGGCGAAGAACGUGCGGCGGUUAGAGAGAGGAGAGAUACAUCUGGCAACUGGAGGGACACAUGUCGUAGAGACACAUGUGCGAUGCCGAAAUCAACUCGAAUUGAAAAUUGACUCGCAUGGUGUGAAGUGACCCUACAACCCGCGGUCCAAAUUGGUAAGUACCACAUAAAAUUAGGGAGAAUACUUGUAGGGUGUGAUUCGUAUUGCAUGCUUGCUAGAGAAAAUUACUCCUAAGUUGUUAGAUCCGAAAUAUCCUGUACCCACAAAGUUAAUCGUAUAUGUGAUGCCCUUGCUACUUUGAUGGAAUUUCAAGUUGAAAUUUCUA